ACAGGGGGUACCGGUACAGAGUCAAUGUGGAGGCUAUAUACAGGGGGUACCGGUACAGAGUCAAUGUGGAGGCUAUAUACAGGGGGCUACCGGUACAGAGUCAAUGUGGAGGCUAUAUACAGGGGGGUACCGGUACAGAGUCAAUGUGGAGGCUAUAUACAGGGGGUACCGGUACAGAGUAAAUGUGGAGGCUAUAUACAGGGGGUACCGGUACUGAGUCAAUGUGGAGGCUAUAUACAGGGGGUACCGGUACAGAGUCAAUGUGGAGGCUAUAUACAGGGGGUACCAGGACUGAGUCAAUGUGGAGGCUAUAUACAGGGUAUUACGGUACAGAGUCAAUGUGGAGGCUAUAUACAGGGGGUACCGGUACAGAGUCAAUGUGGAGGCUAUAUACAGGGUAUUACGGUACAGAGUCAAUGUGGAGGCUAUAUACAGGGGGUACCGGUACAGAGUCAAUGUGGAGGCUGUAUACAGGGGGUACCGGUACAGAGUCAAUGUGGAGGCUAUAUACAGGGGGUACCGGUACAGAGUCAAUGUGGAGGCUAUAUACAGGGGGUACCGGUACAGAGUCAAUGUGGAGGCUAUAUACAGGGGGUACCGGUACAGAGGCAAUGUGGAGGCUGUAUACAGGGGGUACCAGGACUGAGUCA
rnacentral:lncRNA from 1 species